rnacentral:tRNA from 1 species
GAGGGCGUAGCUCAGCUAGGUAGAGCAGCGGCCUUUUAAGCCGUCGGUCGUGGGUUCGAUUCCCGCCGCCCUCACUA